rnacentral:tRNA from 1 species
GGUGCUCCAGGGAGAACAGACGAGGACAGGUCUGUAAAACCUUUAUUCGGGGGUUCGAUUCCCCCCGCCUCUCCA